GCCAGUACCUCCCUACACACACACGCACACACACACUGUCCUGUAAGGUUGAAAUUUGGGGCCAGUACCUCCCUAUACACACACACACAUACACACACACACACGCACGCACACACACACACUGUCCUGUAAGGUUGAAAUUUGGGGCCAGUACCUCCCUAGACACACACACACACACACACACACACACACACUGUCCUGUACCUCCCUACACACACACACACACACACGCUGUCCUUACACUGGCUUACCUCCCUGUACACACACACACACAUGCACGCACACACUGUCCUGUACCUCCCUAUACACACACACGCUGUCCUUACACUGGCUUACCUCCCUAUACACACACACACACACGCACACGCUGUCCUGUACCUCCCUACACACACACACAUGCUGUCCUUACACUGGCUUCCUGUCC
rnacentral:lncRNA from 1 species